GCGUGCCAAACAGCGGCAGCACCGUGACACCCAAAAGUUAUAAAGGUGGUUCAGCUGGCACAAGUGUUGGACUACAACAUAUACUGUCGCUGCUCCUAACUGCAACAUUAAUAUUCUGCCUUCAGUUAUGAUUGAAGCUGCCCGAAGAGCAACAGAAGGCAAACUCGUUGAUUCUAUGAUCGCAAAACCCCCAUUAAAUGCCUAGAUCAGUUUCACAAGAAACUGUGCAAAAACUUAUUGUCUGAUUUGAUUUUUUUUUAACAAAGUAGUGAAACCUGGCAGCUCAGUGAUGCAUUGCAGGGGUGAACGUUUAGCAGUACAGCUGGUUAUCUUUCACUGGCCCCUGGUUACCAUGCACUGGCCGCUAGUUACCAGGCUCUGGCUGUAGGUUACUAGGCACUGUGCAUUGGUUAGAGGUCACUGGCCCCUAGUUAGUGGUCACUGGCCCUUGGUUACUGGUCAUUGGUCCCUUGUUCGUGGGCUCCGGUCGCUAGUUACUGGGUACCAGUGACAUUGAGAACAAGCUGCAGGAUGGAGUUGUGCAGAGUGGAACACCGAGCGAAUCUUUUCCAAUAUGGAAAAAUAUCAGUGCCAGCCAAUAGCUAAAUUAACUUCAAUAAUUUAUUGGUAAAUAUGUUGCAGUGAAAGCAAAUACUUAAUUUAAUUAAAAUUAUAUUUAUUUGUUAAAAAUACCUUUAAUCUGCCACAGCUCCAGAAUGGGGUUCAGUCCCAACCUCUGGUUCUGUCAGUGUGGAGUUAGCACAUUCUCCCUGUGACCUCUCAGUUCCUCCCAGUGCUCUGGUAUCCUCCCAUGUCCCACAGACCGGCAGGUUGGUUGGUCAGUCGGUCACUAAGUUGACUGAGGUGUAAGGGGGGGAUUUGAUGGGACAUUCAAAAGGGCACAAAGGGACUGAGUGGGAAACCAACUCAGCAUCUGUGAUCCAAAUGUUAAUAUGAAGAAUGUAGACUAUGAUUUUGUAUUGUAACUUCAAUUAUUUAAACCUGUUAGUAUUAAUCAAAUCAUUACUGUGCCAUAUUGCAUGAAAGAUGAAGUUAUAUUCUUGUAUUCUCUAUGCUUAUGAAUUAAGUUAAAUAAAGCAGA